GGCCAGGUGGUACCUCGGAAGGACACCUUUCGGUAUUUGGGGUCAAUGUUGGAGGAGGAUGGGGGUAUUGAUGAAGAUGUGAACCAUCGAAUCAAAGCCGGAUGGAUGAAGUGGCGCCAAGCUUAUGGCAUUCUCUGUGACAAGAGAGUGCCACAAAAGCUAAAAGGCAAGUUCUAUAGGACGGCGGUUCGACCCGCAAUGUUGUACGGCGCGGAGUGCUGGCCGACUAAAAGGCGGCAUGUUCAACAGUUAUUUGUGCCGGAGAUGCGUAUGUUGAGAUGGAUGUGUGGCCACACGAGGAAGGAUCGAGUCCGGAAUGAUGAUAUACGAGAUAGAGUUGGGGUAGCACCAAUUGAGGAGAAGCUUGUCCAACAUCGUCUGAGAUGGUUUGGGCAUAUUCAGCGCAAGCCUCCAGAAGCUCCAGUGCAUAGCGGACGGCUAAAGCGUGUGGAGAAUGUCAAGAUAGGGCGAGGUCGACCGAAUUUGACAUGGGAGGAGUCCGUUAAGAGAGACCUGAAGGAUUGGAGUAUCGACAAAGAGCUAGCA
rnacentral:rRNA from 1 species